rnacentral:rRNA from 1 species
CCUACGGGAGGCAGCAGUAGGGAAUAUUGGGCAAUGGAUGCAAGUCUGACCCAGCCAUGCCGCGUGCCGGAUGAAGGCCCUCAGGGUUGUAAACGGCUUUUAUUCGGGAAGAAGAGCAGGGAUGCGUCCUUGUGUGACGGUACCGAAUGAAUAAGCACCGGCUAACUCCGUGCCAGCAGCCGCGGUAAUACGGAGGGUGCGAGCGUUGUCCGGAUUUAUUGGGUUUAAAGGGUGCGUAGGUGGCUGUUUAAGUCAGUGGUGAAAUACGGUUGCUCAACAAUCGAGGUGCCAUUGAUACUGAAUAGCUUGAAAUAAUUGGAGGCUGCCGGAAUGGAUGGUGUAGCGGUGAAAUGCAUAGAUAUCAUCCAGAACACCGAUUGCGAAGGCAGGUGGCUACGAUUGGUUUGACACUGAGGCACGAAAGCAUGGGGAGCAAACAGGAUUAGAUACCCUGGUAGUCCAUGCUGUAAACGAUGAGGACUCGUUGUUUGGCUGCAAAGCUGAGCGACUUAGGGAAACCGUUAAGUCCUCCACCUGGGGAGUACGCCGGCAACGGUGAAACUCAAAGGAAUUGACGG